rnacentral:tRNA from 1 species
ACAGAGAAUAGUUUAUAAAAUAUUAAUUUUGGAAAUUAAAGUUAAAAGAUAAUUUCUUUUUUCUCUG